UUUUUUUUUUUUUUUCUUAUUUUUUCCUAUCACCCAACAUCUCUCUCUUUCAAACCUGGUGGGUUUAUUUUGUAUUAACCUUUUAGAAAUAUAAAAGCACAGCUUAGGUAGGGUCAGAGAAAAAGCCGAAGUCAACCUGUGGAUUACCCAGCCCAAGGGCUGCAUUUGACGGCAGAUCUGUGAGGUAUCAUUUGGUCUAAAUCUAAGACCAGUGCUUGGUACCUUAUUUGGAUAUUGCUGCUUUCAGUGCUUGGGCUGUUCUUCCAAACACUGGAGUUCUCGGCUACUUUUCAGCAUGAUGUCAGUACCACAAGUAUUGCAUUGUCUUAGAGGUUCUAGUGGGGGAUUCCAGAUAAGAUUCCACAUCUGAAUACACUGGAAAACAUUAGGUAGAAGUAAACAUUUAAGAAAUGCAUUUGAAAGCCUCACUUGAUAAACCGGGGGAAAAAAAAUCCCGGUUUCAAUGAUUGGAGUCAGAGUCCUCUUUCAUCUUCAAAACAAGCACCAGCUUGAAAUACUCAAAAAGAAGGCCCGAAGGAACCAGCUGCACCCAUCCUAAUCUAUUCCUCCAAUGGUACUUAACAGAGGGUCACUGCCUUCCUGUGCUCUAUACUGCUCAAAUAUAAACUGCUUAUUUUCUCAAGAUAGGAAAGUCUCUUAUUAUGCUAUAACUAAGCUAUUUCAAAUGUUAAGAAAUGGGGCUGUUAUUUACAUUAUUAACCAUCUCCCUCUGUCACUAAAUGUAAAGAACAUUCACAGAAGUGCGCAUUAGUCAAAGCAGUAGGCACUGUGGUGAGAGGCUGUUCAGAAAGUACUCACUGGAAAGUGAGAAAAGAACUAGAAUGUGGAAACUGGGUGCUAAAAGGGUUUCUGAGACAAAACAGCUUUGACAAAUUUGUAUGAAGGACAGCAUAUUCAGAAAGAACACGGAUAUUUUUGGUUCUAUGGAGGCAUAUUCAGAAGCAAUAGUUACUCGGAAUUUACUGGGACACUUGCAAAGUUCAUUAAGGUACAAUGUUUAGCCUCAUUUCUGGCUCCAUUUUAAAUCUCUGUCCUUCCAUUUCCCACCUCUCCCCACUAACCCUAAUUUUGUGCUAUACCCCUAAUGUAUGCUAUCUCAUAGCCCAUGAAUACUUAUACAUUGCCACAAAUCUUUUUGAGAUAAGAUGUGGAAAUAACACAUAAAAUUUAAAAGCCAGGAUUUCCCUAGUAAUGAGAUUUCUCCGUGACUUACUGUUUCUUUGACAUUUGUAUUGAUUUGGUAUCAGCAUGUUUUCCAUUUUGUUUCAAGCUAUUUAUAAAUUUGUGGGAAAAACAAAGAUUUAAGUCCCUGCUUUGAAAGAGCUCAUGUUUUAAUUGGGAGGGGGGGGGAUAUUAAAAAACACAAAGGGACACUUUGCCGAGUAGUUCAGUAGCUUCUCUACCGCUGUGUCCAUCAUUGUGAAUGUAACGGCAUGCACAGAGAAAUUGAGAUGUUGAAUAAAAUUUAAGGUGGUGACAGAGAAGUCCUGAAUGCAAAGCUUUGGAGUUUGUAGAAAAUGAAGAAGAAGAAGAAAAAUCUCCCAUGAUCUCAACACCCACACAGCUUCUUAUCAUUUGGUGUAUUUCCUUCCAGUCUUUUUUUUUUUCUUCCUCUGAAUAGUUGAGGAUAAGCUUGUGAUGUUACAGCCACAUACACAGUUUUGUACAGCUUUUUACCCUAACAAGCAAUUCCCUAUUUUUGUAAGAACGUUUUCCUGUAUAUUUUCAACACCAUAAUUUACACAAAUAUUCCCUCCUCUCUGGGACAUUCAUACCACUUCCAAGAGAACCCUCUGAAACCUCCAUGAGUAGAAAUAAUUGGAGAGCGGACAGACGCCAGAUCCGAGGCAUCAGUUUCUCCAUGAUGACUAGCUCCAAGUACGGUAGUGGUUUUCCCUAUUUUUGGUGCCAAACCUCUGGCAUCUGAAUUUCGCUGCUUUCCUUUCGCUCCUUUAUGGGUCCCAUCCCUUUCUCGAGGCCUCUAACCUCGUUUCCCAACUGCGUUGAGGAACGGAGGGUUAUUUGCCUCGUAAGUUCCUUUUCAGAGUAAUUGGCACAGCUCAAGAACACGGAGACUUUAAAACCCGGGGCUUUCGCGGGACCUGGGAUUAGCUGUCUUGCGGACCUAAGUUUUUUGAGCCCUGCGUCUGCCCGCCCGUCUGCGAGGCGGGUUCUCUGGGGGGCCCUUUCUGAAUCGAGUGCGACAGUAAACGGGGGAAGUGGAAGUAAAGUGGGAAGCGGGAGGACCAUUUUCUAUCCCUGGUCGGUCUCAACAGGUAGAGCCCUGUGGUUCUCCCUACCUGCUGGCACCAUCCCAGAGCUAUUAAAAUUCUUUCAAGGUGUGGCUGAGGGUGGGGUAGAGGAUGCUUAGCCACCUACAAGCCCCAGUCGACUGUUAGUUCUAAGUUGCAUACAAAAAUAAACAAAUGCAAAGAGCUGGAGCGGCCGGAGAACGUUUCUGAGUCAAACUGGCUGUGCUGCGCCCCGCAAACACGGAGCGUCGGGGGGCGUAUCUGACCCGCUUCUGCUUGGAGCCUCGGAACGGGUUAAAAGCGCAAGCGAACUCUUGGGAGUCCGGUAGGAGUUGCUGGUUGUGCCGGACAUUGCUUACGAGGCGAUUUUUGCGGUCCACCUCCCUCUGGGUUUUCUCAUUCUUUUGUGGGAUGUUCGUGGAGCUGGCCUGGGCACUCACUUUCUCCAGUUUCCACGUCCCAGACCCUCCUCUCCAGGUCCCGGAGCGCCGCACCUACUCCCGCCCCGAGUCUUCGGGACUCGCUCCAGGCGUGGGGGGGGGGGGGCGGGCGGGGGGACUUGGUUCCCUGAAAGCGACCUUGCCCUGGGAAUUUCCUGUGACCGUUUCUCACGGACAAGCCCCUUCUCCCGCUGGAAGCACGGACGCCCACCGCCACGCGCUCCC
rnacentral:lncRNA from 1 species